CUCACGGCUCCAGACUGGUUCACUCAAGAUUUCUUAUCUGCAAUGGAACCACUUCUGUUGUGAAGUUCUCAGUCACCAGCAGGUGCAUUUUGGGGAACUUGCUAGAACACCACAUUCACAAACCCUUUCUCAGGCUUUCUGAAUCAGAGGUGUCAUAAAAUCGGUAAUCCCAUUGCUCCUGGGCCUUCCAUGUGAUUCUGCUCCACUUUCCAUGUAUCACCUUCCCAGAGGUUCUGUGAGAAUGACAGGAGGGCAGGUGUGAGAAGCUCAGACUGUGCCUGGAGCCUCAGCAUUGCUCAGUGGUGACAUCAUCUUCAUCUGCACCACCACAGCAGCAUCUCCUCUAGCAAAGCUUUCACUGCCAAGAGGAACUGGUCCUCAGAGGUGGAGCUGUCCUUCUCCUGGAACACCCAGCUCAGCAUUCAAACUGGGAUCAUGUGUUGGAGCAGCUGAUACCAUCCUGAAGCAAACAGCAGCCAGGAAGAAAACAGGAACCAUGCUUCCAGACCUAGGGUUAGAAAAGAAAUGAGAUUCUGACAACAACAUGCUUCAAUAAAACCUUAUUUCUGUCUCAGAAAUCCAGGCCACCAUUGUGAUAUAAAUCAUUGGAAUCAUUGUUUUAGUUCUUUCCCAAACAGCAUGGAAAGGGAUAAGGAUACGCUUGAUUUGAUAUAGACAUGUGGAGGAAUUUGGUCAGUCUACCAACAUGAUGAGCAAUUGCCGAGGGAUCCAUUAAUUUGAAUGUGUGUGCGCUGUGCACCUAGCUCACUGCAGGCUCUAAUACACCUGGUGUAUAAGAAGCUUAAAGAAACAUCUAAUUUAUUAAGAGGCAGCUGACUCAGGCUUUGUGCCUUUGAUAUUGAGCUCACCCAUGUCAAAUGUGACUUACGCACAGUGUGAUGCAUUGAAUAUACAAAGAAUUCUGCAAGAAUAAGAUUAACCAGAUAUCAUUUUCAUCGUCCAGUGUACACAAUAGGAGAGUGACUAUAGCUUGGUGCCUUCCUUUGUGAAAAUUUCCUGUGAUUUUCUCUUUAGAAUAUCUUGGUAGGUUAAAUUCCUAACGACAGUUAGGAAUCUGUCUGCCCCACAACUAUGAUGUUCAUUCCCAAUCCCAUCUCACUGACUCAAUAAGGAUGGACCACAAGGCUGUGUCAUUGAUUGACAGAGCCACUUUUAUAUGUGGGAUUCAAGGACAGAAUAGCCUGGAAUUCCAGGCUUAAGUCUAAAGUACUGGUGUAAUACUCAGAUAGUGCAUUUUACAGCAGGCAUGCUACAUGCUAUACCUUUUGCUCCUGCCUGGGCAGACCAAUGGAUUUCACUUGCCAGUUAAGAGCAUAAUACUGCUUCCUGUUGUCACUGCAGACAUGCCCAACACAGAUAAAGUUUGAGGCACAAGCUGAUACUUUCUGUUCCUGGACCUGACAGUCAACUUUUUGGACCCUGAUCACCAUUGGUCCCUUCACAUGCCUGGUGACUUCCUGAGAGCUCCAACCAACAUCAUUACAUCCUCAUUGACC
rnacentral:lncRNA from 1 species